rnacentral:rRNA from 1 species
AAUGCGCGUGCUACCUGCAAGUCGAACGGGGAGUUAUUUAUAACUCCUAGUGGCGAACGGGUGAGUAACGCGUAGACAACCUACCUCUAAAAUGGGGACAACACCGCGAAAGUGGUGCUAAUACCGAAUGUGGUAUCUUGGUCGCAUGACCAAGAUAAGAAAGAUGGCCUCUAUUUAUAAGCUAUCGUUUAGAGAUGGGUCUGCGUCUGAUUAGCUAGUUGGUGAGGUAAUGGCUCACCAAGGCGACGAUCAGUAGCCGGUCUGAGAGGAUGAACGGCCACACUGGGACUGAGACACGGCUCAGACUCCUACGGGAGGCAGCAGUGGGGAAUCUUCCGCAAUGGACGAAAGUCUGACGGAGCUACGCCGCGUGAGUGAAGAAGGUCUUCGGAUUGUAAAGCUCUGUCGUUUGGGACGAACGUAUUCUGUGUGAAUAAUGCAGAGUAAUGACGGUACCAAAGGAGGAAGCCACGGCUAACUACGUGCCAGCAGCCGCGGUAAUACGUAGGUGGCAAGCGUUGUCCGGAAUUAUUGGGCGUAAAGGGCGUGUAGGUGGAUUUUUAAGUCGUGUGUCCAAGUGCGGGGCUCAACCCCGUAUAGGCGCAGGAAACUGGAAAUCUUGAGUGCAGGAGAGGAAAGUGGAAUUCCCAGUGUAGCGGUGAAAUGCGUAGAUAUUGGGAGGAACACCAGUGGCGAAGGCGACUUUCUGGACUGUGUCUGACACUGAGGCGCGAAAGCUAGGGGAGCGAACGGGAUUAGAUACCCCGGUAGUCCUAGCCGUAAACGAUGGGUACUAGGUGUAGAGGGUAUC